CGGGAUGUGGCGCAGCUUGGUAGCGCAUCCGCUUUGGGAGCGGAGGGUCGCAGGUUCAAAUCCUGUCAUCCCGACCC
rnacentral:tRNA from 3 species